AGCCAGGCUCCAUCCUCAGGCAGGCAGAGCAUUCCAGGUUUGUUCCAUGUGACCACAUUGGAAGAGGAACAGGUGAAAGGCUUCAAUGACCUAAGUCCUUAUUUUGGGUUUUAACUUGUGCUUCAGGGCAAGAGGAAAAGUUUCUGUCUGCUUGUUUUCUGAAGCACACACAGCUCUCACAGGAAGCCUUGGGCUGUUAGAAGACAAGAAGCAGAGAACGGAAAGUGGGGGUAAGUGAAUUCACACGGAAGGAUCACAGACACACAAGGGAAGAGAUGCUGACCCCAGAAAACAUGAGCGACAGGACAAUGCUAAGAAUGGCGUCUGAACACCCAGAAGGACGUGCAACAGUGGCUAGGAGGAUGCAGAGAAGUGUUCACAUGGUGACAGAAGAGGGCGUUAAAGCAGGU
rnacentral:lncRNA from 1 species